rnacentral:misc_RNA from 1 species
GAUGAAGAACGCAGCGAAAUGCGAUAAGUAGUGUGAAUUGCAGAAUUCAGUGAAUCAUCGAAUCUUUGAACGCACAUUGCGCCCCUUGGUAUUCCAUGGGGCAUGCCUGUUCGAGCGUCAUUUGUACCUUCAAGCUUUGCUUGGUGUUGGGUGUUUGUCCUGAGGGACUCGCCUUAAAGUAAUUGGCAGCCAGUGUUUGGUUUUGAAGCGCAGCACAAGUCGCGAUUCAAAGCUAUACGCCCGCUUCCACAAGCCUUUUUCACUUUUGACCUCGGAUCAGGUAGGAAUACCCGCUGAACUUAAGCAUAUCAAUAAGCGGAGGA